UGUAGUUUUUUAUGCAAUGGAAAUUUCCAAGAUAUAGGUGUGGUGAGUGGAAAUUUACUUUGUGGGCUAUGUUUUGUCGGAAGUUAUAACCACAUUCACUUUUCUCUGAUCUGAGCCUGUCUGAGCCUGAUGACAACAACAACAUAUAAAAUCAUUAUAUAACAGCAACAUUAGGAUAACUACCUGUCAAAACCUAUUUUUCUACUACUGCCAUUGUGUUAUUUUUGACUGGAGUGGAACCUAGAAGUUCAUGUUUUGAUGGUAUGACUCCAAUUAGGCCUACCUAAUAUAAGUUGAGUACUCUUUACAACAAUUGUCAAAACAUGCAAAUAUCCAUUUAAAUGCCAUAUUUAUUCAAGUUGAAGUACACUAUUGCUUUUGAAGAGCUAUAAUUUCUUAAUUGGCAAUACUUUGCUACAACGUGUAGGUGUUGUUAUAGUAUAUAUAUACUGUACAUAUAUUCUAGUUUUAUUUAAACUUUUGGUUCUUAAUUGCACUGUAUGUUGUUACUCUUUUUACUCUUAUCUUCUAUACUAUUCUUUAUUUUUGCAUUGUUAAGGAGAGCUUGGAACACAAACAUGUCAUUGCCAGAUAUGACUGCUUUGCCUGUUAUGUUGUGAAUUUGACUAAUAAAGAUAACGUGAACUUGAA